rnacentral:rRNA from 1 species
AGGAACGCGAAGAACCUUACCAGGUCUUGACAUCUUUUGAUCACCUGAGAGAUCAGGUUUCCCCUUCGGGGGCAAAAUGACAGGUGGUGCAUGGUUGUCGUCAGCUCGUGUCGUGAGAUGUUGGGUUAAGUCCCGCAACGAGCGCAACCCUUAUGACUAGUUGCCAGCAUUUAGUUGGGCACUCUAGUAAGACUGCCGGUGACAAACCGGAGGAAGGUGGGGAUGACGUCAAAUCAUCAUGCCCCUUAUGACCUGGGCUACACACGUGCUACAAUGGAUGGUACAACGAGUUGCGAGACCGCGAGGUCAAGCUAAUCUCUUAAAGCCAUUCUCAGUUCGGACUGUAGGCUGCAACUCGCCUAACACGAAAAUCGGAAUCGCUAGUAAUCCCGGGAUCAGCACCCCCCCGGUGAAUACGUUCCCGGGGUC